GACGAACGCUGGCGGCGUGCCUAACACAUGCAAGUCGAGCGGGGUUGAAGCGAGGGGUAACUCAAGCUUCUACCUAGCGGCGGACGGGUGAGUAACGCGUGGGCAACCUGCCUCAAGGUCUGGGAUAACAGCUCGAAAGGGCUGCUAAUACCGGAUAUGCCUAUGGCCUCGCAUGGGGCUAUGAGCAAAGGGGAAACCUGCCUUGAGAUGGGCCCGCGUCCCAUCAGCUAGUUGGUGAGGUAACAGCUCACCAAGGCGACGACGGGUAGCCGGCCUGAGAGGGUGACCGGCCACACUGGGACUGAGACACGGCCCAGACUCCUACGGGGGGCAGCAGUGGGGGAUCUUGCACAAUGGGCGAAAGCCUGAUGCAGCGACGCCGCGUGAGCGAAGAAGGCCUUCGGGUUGUAAAGCUCUGUCUGGAGGGACGAAGGAAGUGACGGUACCUCCGGAGGAAGCCACGGCUAACUACGUG
rnacentral:rRNA from 1 species